GCAGUCCAUUAUUUUGGAUGGUGGCGCUAACCCUGUAAAUCUGCCAAGCGAAAUUGCACCAUCGGAGCGGUCUAACUUUAGUGGGUGGGGACGAGGGUGCUUCCUUAAACAGCCCGGAGAAGGAGAAGAGCGGAGGGAACCGGGUAGGGGCGCGCUUCUUCUUCCUGGGCGGCGGCUGCUGCUGCUGCUGGUGUCGUCGCCGUCGCCACUACUCCUCUUGCUCAGCCCAGCCCAGCCCAGCCCGCGCUUCUGGAUCUAUCGCCUAACACGUGGGGGCUCUUUUUUGCGCGGCGGAAACUUUCGAGGGCUACUUUGCUUGCCCACUUAGACACACGCGCUCGGGGACAGCGGCGUGGGACUCUCGCCGUAGCAUUGCGGGUGGUAGAAUCUCAGCUCCACGCGGAUCCAGGCGCCUCUUUUCGGCCGGGGGGUGUGUGCCUCCCUACCUUCUCCCGCGAUUGGAAUUCCGCCCUUCCGUUACUGACUGACUCUCCGGGGCUCCGACCGAUCGCCCCCCGCCGCCGCUCCCUUUUCCUAGCACUGAAAAAUGUGGCCGGCGAGUCUUUUCCACGAGCCCGCUCUAGUUUUCCCGAGGGGUGGGAGUCUGCCCCCCUCUCCCCCGUGCCUGCCGUACCUCCUCGUUUUAUGCCGUCCAGUGUAACUCAAGACCUGGCUAGGACGAGGGAGGACAAGCAAGUUAAAGCCACAGGAACGCGCAGGGGUUGCUGGCUGUCACCCCUGACAGAAGGCACUUCCUCUCCGCAACAUGCUUCUAUUGAACAGACAGAUACAAUAUUUAUUAAAGAGUGUCGUGAGUUUUUCGCUGCGCUGAAUGUAAAUAUGCACGCAUACCGAUCAUGCUGUUCCUGUUUAUAGUAAGCAGCGCUAUGCAAAGUGCAAAAAAAAAAGAAGUAAGGCACAGUAAGCAAAAGAAAGGAAGGACGCACGGUAAGGAAAAAGGAGAAGAAAAAAAUAUUGCAACAUCAGGUAUAUAUCAACAUUAUGGGUAUAUUGUAGAUCCAGAGUAGGCCAGAUCUCUUACAUAACUACCAUAUUGGACUUGCUCAAACUUUGGCAGCUUUCUUAAGAGUACAUUGUGGAGCUCUGAAACCUUUAUACUAUAGACCCCGAAGUUUGCCAGGCGCCCUGCUGAACAAAUGUCUUUUCCAUGCACACGGGGUUUUGAUGUGCACAUGGUGUUCCCCAGAAGAGGUUAGCCAGUGUCAGAGACGGAGUUCUUUGACCUGAUUCUAUCAAGUCCAACAUACACACCAGAAGGCCUUUUCUGCCUGAGAGCUACUGUACAACAGUUUAUAUCUCAGCUGGUUUCAUUUUUAUGAACUCGGAGCUGAGGUAUGUUCCUCUGAACAAGGUUGUGCAAAUAUUCUCUGCCAAGACUAUUAAGACUGUGCCAAGAAAAGCUGCAUUUCUCUCUCUCUCUUUCUCAGGAAAAGACUAAAAAAUUUUGCAUAUGCAUUUCUGAUUUAAAAGAAAAAGAAUUAUUUUUGCUUGUUGCCUAGCUCUUGGCUUCAGCUAGGCUUAAGGCAGAACAAUAUGAAGUACUCAAGUGUUUCUCCUAACUGCUAAGAAUCACGCUCAACUUCCUCUCCCAUCACUGUGCGUGUAUUUCCAUACAGCCUUGCUGUUGAAAGUGCUCAAAACUUGAUUGUUAAAAUUCUAAAUUCUAUAUCCUUUCUUGCAUUUUUUUGAUGGAUAGAUAGGGCUGCAACUCUAAAGAUGUAUCUUAGGAAGUAUUGGGAGCAUCCUAGAUCUAUUUCUAAAUUCCUUUAGUCUGCAGAGGGAUCGUAACAUUUGUGCUUAAAUAUGUGACUUUUCCUAUCGUAGAUUUCUUCUGGCAGCUAAUCUAUUUUAUCCUUUGUUGUUAUUGUUGGUCCAUAGGGCUCUGCUUCCAAGAAGCAUUUCUUGAGUGACAGCUGUACAGAACAUGACAACUUCUAGCCGUGCUGCAAAAUUACAGUUGCACAAGGCAAUCUUUUUGUAUUAAAUUCCUUGACUGCUUUCAAGACGUAAUGCUAUUCCCAAGAAGAGGACGUCUACAGGAUUGUCUAUCUGGUACAAAGAUGGGGAAUUUGUCACUGUUCUAGAUUUUGCAGAGUUACUAUUCUUUUCAUCCCAAACAGCACAGCUAUGGAGAGGAAAACCAGGAGUUGUAAUUCAAGAAAUUCUGGAAAAGCAAAAAUUCCCCACUCCUUAUCUAGGCCUUUUUUAGUUUUUGGUUAAUUUGGCUGAGUCUUUAUCUAAGGCUGUGUCUUUCCUGUUGUUACAGGUGGUCCUUGACUUAAAACCAUUCAUUUAGCAACCAUUUGAAGUUACAGUGACACUGAAAAAAGUUACUUAUGACUGGUUCUUGCACUUAUGAUUGUUGUAGCAUCCUCACAGUCUGUGACCAGAAUUUGGGCACUAGGCAACAGGCAUGUACUUACAGCUAUUGCAGCGUCCUGGGGUCAAGUGACCAUCAUUUGCAACCUUCCCAGCUGUCUUCGGACAAGCAAAUUCAAUUGGUGAAGCUGGAUUCACUUAACAAGGAGCAGGGAUUCACUUAACACCGUGGGGAAAAAAAAGGUUGUAAAAUUGGCACAACUCACUCAACAACUACCUUGCUUAACAAUGGAAAAAUUCUCUUCCCAAUUGUGGUUGUAAGGCAGGGACUGCCUGUACUACAUGAAUGAGGUUGGAAGAUUUGACACCUUAGGUUAGCUGAAAACAAUCAUUAACCUUGAAACCCCCCAGAUGACAUGAACAGUAGUCUACAUCACCUCUGACACACAAUUGGGAAGGGUGGGACUUGUAGUCCAGUGCAUUUGGAAGGCACCAACUGGGACAAGGUUUCCUACAGAGAUGAGAUCACCCUGAAGAGCUCCCAAUGUGAAUGCCUGUACCUUGAACAGGUAACUUCAGCUUUAUCAGCAUCUUAAAACAGGUAAGCAGAAAAGCAACUGUUCAACUGUUGACUGAGGAAAAGAUGCCCCAAAGACUGCUUGGUUAGGCUAUUCCUAUGCAGCUCUAGAUGCUGGAUCAAUCACUUACUUUGAGGAAGGACAUAUAGAUGCAACUAUUUUUUUUAUUUAUUUGCUUUACAUGAAGGGCACAAUGGCUCGGGUUAAGACGCUGGGCUUGCCGGCUGUAAAGUUAACAGCUCAGAUUCAAGACCUAAGGGCCACGUGACGGGUGAGCGCCUGUUAUUUGCCCCAGCUCCUGCCCACCAAGCAUUUCGAAAGCAUACACAUGUGAGUAAAUAGGUACCACUUCAGUGGGAAGGUGACAGCAUUUUGUGAGUCUUGCUUAUAGCCAUGCUGGUCAUAUGAGCAUGGAAAUGUCUUUGAACAACACUGGCUCCCUCGGCUAGGAAACAGAGAAGAGUCGGACAUGACUGGACGGGGGAAACUUUUACCUUUUUUUAAGGGUACAUGCUUUUCCAAAUGAUACCCAGAUUGUUGGGGGCAAUGUAAAUAUAUAUAUAUAUACAUUGCUUACUGGUGUACACCGCUUAGAGAGUGCUUGCACUUAAAGCGGUAUAUAAGUCUCAUAAAUAAAUAAAUAAAUAAAUAAAUAUCAAGGCAUUUGCUGCUGGCUUUUCUAAUGUGUUAAAUGCUGUAUUGUACACCGAAUGCUGUCAAAAUAAACACGACUUACAACAAA